AUGCAAGUCGAGCGGACAGAUGGGAGCUUGCUCCCUGAUGUUAGCGGCGGACGCGUGAGUAACACGUGGGUAACCUGCCUGUAAGACUGGGAUAACUCCGCGAAACCGGCGCUAAUACCGGAUGCUUGAUUGAACCGCAUGGUUCAAUUAUAAAAGGUGGCUUUUAGCUACCACUUACAGAUGGACCCGCGGCGCAUUAGCUAGUUGGUGAGGUAACGGCUCACCAAGGCAACGAUGCGUAGCCGACCUGAGAGGGUGAUCGGCCACACUGGGACUGAGACACGGCCCAGACUCCUACGGGAGGCAGCAGUAGGGAAUCUUCCGCAAUGGACGAAAGUCUGACGGAGCAACGCCGCGUGAGUGAUGAAGGUUUUCGGAUCGUAAAACUCUGUUGUUAGGGAAGAACAAGUACCGUUCGAAUAGGGCGGUACCUUGACGGUACCUAACCAGAAAGCCACGGCUAACUACGUGCCAGCAGCCGCGGUAAUACGUAGGUGGCAAGCGUUGUCCGGAAUUAUUGGGCGUAAAGCGCGCGCAGGCGGUUUCUUAAGUCUGAUGUGAAAGCCCCCGGCUCAACCGGGGAGGGUCAUUGGAAACUGGGGAACUUGAGUGCAGAAGAGGAGAGUGGAAUUCCACGUGUAGCGGUGAAAUGCGUAGAGAUGUGGAGGAACACCAGUGGCGAAGGCGACUCUCUGGUCUGUAACUGACGCUGAGGCGCGAAAGCGUGGGGAGCGAACAGGAUUAGAUACCCUGGUAGUCCACGCCGUAAACGAUGAGUGCUAAGUGUUAGAGGGUUUCCGCCCUUUAGUGCUGCAGCAAACGCAUUAAGCACUCCGCCUGGGAGACGCCAGUCCC
rnacentral:rRNA from 1 species